GAAAUGCGAUACGUAAUGUGAAUUGCAGAAUUCAGUGAAUCAUCGAGUCUUUGAACGCACAUUGCGCCCCCUGGUAUUCCGGGGGGCAUGCCUGUCCGAGCGUCAUUGCUGCCCUCAAGCCCGGCUUGUGUGUUGGGUCUCGUCCCCCUUCCCGGGGGGACGGGCCCGAAAGGCAGCGGCGGCACCGCGUCCGGUCCUCGAGCGUAUGGGGCUUUGUCACCCGCUCUGUAGGCCCGGCCGGCGCUUGCCGAUCAACCAAAACUUUUUUCCAGGUUGACCUCGGAUCAGGUAGGGAUACCCGCUGAACUUAA
rnacentral:misc_RNA from 1 species